AUCCUGUUGCUCAAAAAAUCCUGUGUGUUCAUCCAGCAGUGUGAGUAAAAACCAACUUAAUUGUCCUUACUUGGAUGAGAUCAUAUGGGGGGUACACUACAUUCUGUUUGAACUGCCCACAUCAUUCUUUUUUUUUAUCUAUUCCAAGCAAAGGAAAAGAAGCGAAUAAAACCUUGCUGUGGCAACAGUGGGAGAGGCAAAGGAUUAGAGCUGUGCUAUUUAAAGUAGUAGUAAAUGUUUGAGUUCAGUCUUCAGCUGACAGUACUGUGAGAUAUUAAAAAGGUAGGUUGGGGGAUCUUUAGCUGUGGUCACUCUGUCACAGCCAAGUCCCACCAUGGCAUUUCACACCCAUAGUGAAAGACAGGGCUGAGGUUUUAUUUAUUAUCACGUCUUCCCACAAUAGGAACAGAGGCCCUUGUCAAUGCUUAAUUUUGUAAUUAUGGACUGUGUAUGAUGGCUGGAUGGGUGUAGACUGUGAGGGAUGUUCUUAAGGGAUACUAGAUAUCCAGCUCCGUGGAAGAGAUUCAUCCCUGUGUGUUUUACUUUGUUUCCUCUAUAGCCUCUGGUUCACUUGACUAACCUCAGUAGCAGAAGGGCUAGAUGCCCACAGAAUCCAUCUACCCCAGACCUCCAAAUGCAAGUGUCCUACUCUGGUGAAGGGCAGCAGUUCUGUGGUAGGAUGGUGACCAUCGAUUUGAAAGUUGGAAAUUCUGUCUGAGGUUGUUUAAAAGGAUUCUUGAUUGUAUGCUUCCAUCUUUGCUCGUAAUGCAUUGCUUUCUAGAAUCUUUUGUCUGUCAGAUGGACCUUACUUACUUGGAAGUCCUUACUGGUUAACUCAGUUCUGUCCCUUUAAUGGCUACCGCCUGGUGGCUAAGAGGACAACAAGCAUUAGAGUAGGAAUCUGGAGGAACAGGGGAAUAGAGACUGUGUCUGAAGGGGAGAGAGGACUGAUUCUCCAAAGUUUGUAGUGGGCAUGGUAAGUGAAAGUCAAAAGACUUUUUCCAGAUGUAGACCAGCGAUCAACAUUUAUUCUGGUCCUCUCUGGGGUUCCAUCUGUGGAACAUAGAACACUGGCUGACAGGGACCCGA
rnacentral:lncRNA from 1 species